rnacentral:rRNA from 1 species
GUGACCUCAAAUCAGGUAGGACUACCCGCUGAACUUAAGCAUAUCAAUAAGCGGAGGAAAAGAAACUAACAAGGAUUCCCCUAGUAACUGCGAGUGAAGCGGGAAAAGCUCAAAUUUAAAAUCUGGCGGCCUUUUUGCUGUCCGAGUUGUAAUCUAGAGAAGUGUUAUCCGCGCUGGACCGUGUACAAGUCUCCUGGAAUGGAGCAUCAUAGAGGGUGAGAAUCCCGUCUUUGACAUGGACUACCAGGGCUUUGUGAUGCGCUCUCAAAGAGUCGAGUUGUUUGGGAAUGCAGCUCAAAAUGGGUGGUAAAUUCCAUCUAAGCUAAAUAUUGGCGAGAGACCGAUAGCGAACAAGUACCGUGAGGGAAAGAUGAAAAGAACUUUGGAAAGAGAGUUAAACAGUACGUGAAAUUGCUGAAAGGGAAACGCUUGAAGUCAGUCGCGUCAUCCAGGGAUCAACCUUGCUUUUGCUUGGUGCACUUUCUGGUUUGAUGGGUCAGCAUCAAUUUUGAUCAUUGGAAAAAGGUUUUAGGGAAUGUGGC